GUGCAUGAGGCCCUCAGGUGCUGCUAGGAGAACCCAUGGAGCCAGACGCCGCGCCCCUUCACUCCUCCUCGCCACCUCCACCAAACGAUGCCGGCGAGGAGGAGGCGGGAUCACCGGAGCAGGACGAGGAGUUCGGGGGGUUCUCCGUCGUGGUGUCCUGCUCUCAUCCCGUCUAUGCCGAUCCCACUGAUUCACCGUCCACGCUCAGGCAGCCGUGUGCCACCUCAAAGCCAGCCGCCCGCCAGCCCAACGGGGGCCUUAAUCUCCCAGUUGAACAGUCCCAACCCAGGUGCUCCGUGGAGCGGAGGGAUUGUAAUGCAGCCCCCCCGCGUGCACCUCACAAACGGGUUCUUUGGCGGAGACCCCGGCUCUGGGACUCACCCAGCCCCUGCGGUGGGCGGAUGCCCUCCCCGAGAAGAAACCGGGUUUGCCGAUUUCACCGUGUUUGCAGAGCAGGCGGCGCAUCCCUGGUGCUGUGGCUUCAGUCCCGCGGGGGGCAAAGAGCGCUGGGACGUCCGCGUGCGGCGCUCCACCAGCGGUGCUGCCCACGCGAUCGGAGGUCCAGUUUGCACAAAGGUCGAGCACUGUGAGAGAAGAGGUGCAGCACUCGAUGGAGCGCCUCAGGAAGCUGCAGCAGUAGACUUUCCCCUCGAAGAGCUUCACCCUGCGUUGUGGGACGGGAGGGACAGUUUCAGUUCUUCACACUCCGCAGAGAUGGACGGCGGGAGAGAAACGAGCAUCUCCGCCCUCCCCCGAACGCUCGGCGUGACCAGACCGAUUGGGACCAGACCGACGACGACGGAGACGAGCUGGAAGACUACGGGCGCUGUGACCUCCCCGACAGCAUGGCGCCUCUCCGACAGUCUGAGGGCGUGA
ensembl:lncRNA